rnacentral:lncRNA from 1 species
UCUGUCUUUUUCACUUUCUCUUUCUCUCUUCGACUUUUUCUUUCCUUUCUGCUGCCUCUGCCAGCUGCUUAUGCUGCUGUUCUCCCCUCUCCGUUUCUUCUCUGAUAUAAUUAUUACUUAUAUAUAUCAUGAGGCAUUUUCAUUCUCAGAGAAAUGUGUGAAAACACAUAUUUCUUUUUAAGAUUGAGGGACUUCUAAGUUCCCAUUUUUUACUUAGCACAGUGCCAAUUGUUGAUUUUAUACUAAGAUUUAUUAUAGCAAUGUAGUAAGGAUACAUACUUGGGUCAUAAGAGGAAAAGACAUAGGUUGAGUCUGGAGAAACUCAUGCAUGUGAUUCCUUUUGCCCCCUGCCUCCUGUGAAGGCACAGCUUGAAAAACUGCCUUUUUCCAUAUUAACAUUUUUGCUUUUAUCUUUUAGAUUUUAGGAAGGUUGUUUUAAUUAGGAUCAGAUUUUAAUAAUGAGCAGCAAAAAUGAGGUGCUUUUUUUUGGAAAAUAUAAUUAGUAGAUUGCUGAAUGGAGUUCAGUUUUAUUUUUUUAACAAGUUGAAUGAUGAUUAGGAUUUAUAAUAUAGUUUAUUUGUGUGUACUUCUUAAACUGUUCUGG